GAUGAAGAACGCAGCGAAAUGCGAUACUUGGUGUGAAUUGCAGAAUCCCGUGAACCAUCGAGUCUUUGAACGCAAGUUGCGCCCGAAGCCAUUAGGCCGAGGGUACGCCUGCCUGGGUGUCACACGUCGUUGCCCCCCCAUCUACUCCUUCGGGAUUGCGGGGGGCGGAUGAUGGCCUCCCGUGCGCCUCGUCGCGCGGUUGGCAUAAAUGCCAAGUCCUCGGCGACGCACGCCACGACAAUCGGUGGUUGCGAAACCUCGGUUGCCCGUCGUGUGCGGUCGUCGCGCAUCGAGGGCUCGAAAAAAUUGCCGGGCUCCGGCUCGGCUUUCAACGCGACCCCAGGUCAGGCGGGGUUACCCGCUGAAUUUAAGCAUAUCAAUAAGCGGAGGA
rnacentral:misc_RNA from 1 species